GCUUGUCAGCACUACGGGCGUGGUGUAACUUCUUCCUUUUCUUAUCCCUCUCUCCAUUUUUCUCCUUGGAUUUUAUUCGUGUUAUUAUUUUUUUUGAUUUACUACUUUUUUGUAGGUUUUAUAAAGUGGAGUUCCGAAUUGUAUAAUAUGGUUAUUACAUUGGAUCAAAUAUUUGGUGGGCUUCUUGGAGUUUGUUUAAGAUCUUACACAGAUACCUCUUUGCCAUUUUCGUCAGAGCUUGAUAUGCAAAAAUUACAGUCAAGAAGAGAAGUCAUGUGAAGAGGGUGUCGUCAUAGUCCAUAGAGAAUCCAGUUGUUACUUUGUUUGAAGGCUCGCCCAGUGAUCAUCAAUAAAUUUGUGCAGUAACUUGUCAACAUUAGAAUUUAUUUAUAGUUGGAAGUCUUAGUUUGAUAGGAGAAAAAUUGUAUUAUUUGGGAACCAUUAUUUAAUGAUGUUAUGAUAGGACUAUUAAAAGAUAUAGUAUGUCGAGUGACUCUUUC